CCAAAAUCUUUCGCGGGCAAUAUAUCAAUAUUUUCCUUUAACAAUUGCAUAGCUACUAAAGCUAUAUCAACUUUUUUCUUUUUAUUUUUAUUUGUUAAGAACUCAGCUCUAUUUAGCACUAUUUCUCUCAUAUCUGGUUCUGAUGUUUGGAAACCACCAAUUAUACCACCAUAAGUAAUAUUAACAUUCUUUUUUUCUUUCAUUUCUUUAAUCUGUUUGAGUACUAUUAGGCAAGCGCCAUCAAUAAACACAUUCUCCAUUAAGAGAUUCUGAAUUUUUACACUGCUUAAUUUUAUUUUAUUAAGUACUUUUAAAACAUCAUCUGGAGUAAGUGGAUUGUAUGAUAGAUUUAGUGUUACCAACUUUUUUGCCUUUUCUAAAUUUCCUGUCAAAUUUCGUACAGCCUCCGCUGUGAGUUUGUUAUUGCUAAGAUUUAAGAUACGAAGAUUUGGACAUUUUGAAACCGCCUUUAAGGCUCUUCCGAUUCUUCCACUUGAGAGGGAAUUCCAAGAUACAUUUAACUCUUGCAAAAAUUUACUUUCCGCAAGUCGAGAAAAAAGAUUAAGCGUUCCUUCAAUUGGAGUAAAAAGAUUAUUCCAAGAGAGAUCUACACAGGUUAACUUAUUGUAUGUUUCUAAAGCUUCCGCUAAUACGUUUGCAGAUUUACCAGUAAUACUGUUGUAGCUUAGGGAUAUUUCUUUCACAUUAAAGCCGCGAAAAAUUGCUGCUGAUAAAUGUUCUAAGCCCAUAUCACCUAUUUGAUUUUUGUUAAGAUUUAAUACUUGUAGCCCUCUAUUAAAGUGUAAUCCAGCACAUAAUUGCUUUACACCUGUAUGUCCAAGUCUACAUCCCGUGAGGUUUAAUUCCGUUAAAGUAGAAUUGCUUAUAAGCAUUUCACCUAAAUGAAAGCACGCGUCAUCGUUCAAGAAGUUGUCAGUUAGAUUUAAUAUUUUAACAUUCUUAUUAUACUGCAGGGCUAAAGCCAUUGCACGUACUCCAAAUGGAUCCACGCAAUAAUAUCUUAAGUCUAUGGAAUCUUUGAGUAAGCCUUUAAAAAAUGUUCUUACAGGGCAGCGAUUCAUUUCUUUACAGACUGACAUGUAUAAUUCCUGGCCAUCAUCAGGAUAUGAUACUUUUUCUUCUGGAUCAAGUAAAGCUUUCUUGAUACCCGGGUCUAGAACAGCAGGAUAGUUGAAGUAAGGAUGCCUCAGAACAGAACUUGCAGACAUUGCUAUAUAUUUGGUGCAUAUUUCACCACUGCUUGGACUGUACAGGCCUUGUUCAUAUAAAAGUCGCUUGGGGUUCUCCUCAGGAACCUCCAUAAUAAGUGAUGACCAUUCCUCCAUGGGUACAUCCUCUGAGAUAUCGUCAACAAUAGGUUGAUAUACUACCUCGGUCUUUAUUUCAUGUUCUGAAACUUCUGAUGACAUUUUCAGUAUUAAAAUAUAAGCAUCAAAAAUAAAAUAAAUAAAAUAUUUCAAAAUGAUAAAAAGGUUAGUAAAAAUAUUGAAAAAUUUCAGUUAAAUAGACAUCUGUCAAUAAAUUCUAAUAUAAAUAAUAGAAAAUUAAAUUAUCCUGUCAAAAAUAUUACAACAAAAUAGAUUAUAUCAAAAGUUAGGUAAGUUUGAUGUGUUAAUAAACAAAUAAUAACUCUUUGUUAUACUUACUAGAAGAAAAUUAAUAAAACCUUUAUAU
rnacentral:misc_RNA from 1 species